rnacentral:rRNA from 1 species
GUCCUACGGGAGAAAGCAGGGGACCUUCGGGCCUUGCGCUAUCAGAUGAGCCUAGGUCGGAUUAGCUAGUUGGUGAGGUAAUGGCUCACCAAGGCGACGAUCCGUAACUGGUCUGAGAGGAUGAUCAGUCACACUGGAACUGAGACACGGUCCAGACUCCUACGGGAGGCAGCAGUGGGGAAUAUUGGACAAUGGGCGAAAGCCUGAUCCAGCCAUGCCGCGUGUGUGAAGAAGGUCUUCGGAUUGUAAAGCACUUUAAGUUGGGAGGAAGGGCAGUAAAUUAAUACUUUGCUGUUUUGACGUUACCGACAGAAUAAGCACCGGCUAACUCUGUGCCAGCAGCCGCGGUAAUACAGAGGGUGCAAGCGUUAAUCGGAAUUACUGGGCGUAAAGCGCGCGUAGGUGGUUCGUUAAGUUGGAUGUGAAAUCCCCGGGCUCAACCUGGGAACUGCAUUCAAAACUGUCGAGCUAGAGUAUGGUAGAGGGUGGUGGAAUUUCCUGUGUAGCGGUGAAAUGCGUAGAUAUAGGAAGGAACCACCCAGUGGCGAAGGCGACCACCUGGACUGAUACUGACCCU